GACUAAAAAAAAUAGCUCAGUUGGUUAGAGUGUGGUGCUAAUAACGCCAGUCACAGGUUCGACCCCUGUAGUGAGCA